UACUUAGUGGCAGACGGGUGAGUAACAUGUGGGUAUCUACCCUUUGGCCUGGAAUAACACGAGGAAACUUGUGCUAAUACCGGAUAAGUCUUUACGGAGAAAGCUUUAUGCACCAUUGGAUGAGCCCGCACUUGAUUAGUUUGUUGGUAGGGUAAUGGCCUACCAAGACUAUGAUCAAUAGCUGAUUUGAGAGGAUGAUCAGCCACAUUGGGACUGAGACACGGCCCAAACUCCUACGGGAGGCAGCAGUGGGGAAUCUUGCACAAUGGAGGAAACUCUGAUGCAGCGAUGCCGCGUGAGUGAAGAAGGCCUUUGGGUUGUAAAGCUCUUUCGUCGGGGAAGAAAAUGACUGUACCCGAAUAAGAAGGUCCGGCUAACUUCGUGCCAGCAGCCGCGGUAAUACGAAGGGACCUAGCGUAGUUCGGAAUUACUGGGCUUAAAGAGUUCGUAGGUGGUUGAAAAAGUUGGUGGUGAAAUCCCAGAGCUUAACUCUGGAACUGCCAUCAAAACUUUUCAGCUA
rnacentral:rRNA from 1 species